UUUCUUUUUUGUUUUUCUUUCUUUCUUUCUUUCUUUCUUUCUUUCUUUCUUUCUUUCUUUCUUUCAGACAGAGCAUAAGCACACAAAAUGGGGGAGGGGCAAAGGGAGAGGGAGAGAGAGAAUCUCAAGCAGGCUCCAUGCCCAGUGCAGAGCCUGAUGCAGGGCUCAAUUUCAUGACAGUGAGAUCAUGACCUGAGAUGAAAUCAAGUCAUAUGCUUAAUCUAGUGAGCCACCUAGGCACUGGGCUCUCUGUUCUGAUCCAUUGAUCUAUGUUUUUAUUUUGGUGCCAGUACCAUACUUUUUUGAUUACCGUAACUUUGUAGUAUAGUUUGAAAUCUGGGAGUGUGAUACUUACUGCUUUGUUCUUUCUCAAGAUUGCUUUGGCUACUCAGGGCUUUUUGGUGGUUCCAUACAAAUUUUAGGGUUAAUUUCUGAGAAAAAUGCUAUUGGCACAUUGAUGAGAUAGCUUUGGGUAAUAUGGACAUUUUAACAAUAUUAAUUUUCCAAUUCAUGAACAAGGUAUAUCUUUCCAUUUACUUGUGUCAUCUUCAGUUUCUUUCAUGAAUGUCUUAUAGUUUUAAGAGUACAGGUCUUUCACUUCCUUAGUUAAAUUUAUUCCUAGGUAUUUUUAAAAUGCAUUUAUAAAUGGAAUGGUUUUCUUAAUUUCUCUUUCUGCUAGUUUGUAUAGAAACACAACAGAUUUCUAUAUAUUAAUUCUGUAUCCUAUAACUUUACUGAAUUCAUUUAUUAGUCCUAAUAGUUUGUGUGUGUGUGUGUGUGUGUGUGUGUGUGUGUGUGUGUGUGGACUUUAUGGUUUUUGAUAUGUAGUAUAUUAACUGCAGUAGUGAGUUUUACCUCUUCCAUACCAAUUUCUUUUUCUUGUCUGAUUGCUGUGGUUAUGACUUCCAGUACUAUGUGGAAUAACAGUGGUGAGAGUGGACAGCCUUGUCUUGUUCCUGAUCUUAGAUGAAAAGCUGAAAGCUUUUAGCUGUAGGUUUGUCAUAUGAGGCUUUUAUUAGGUUAAGGUAUGUUCCCUCUGUAUCCACUUUGUUGUGAGUUUUUAUCCUAAAUGGAUGUUGAAUUUUGUCAAAUGCUUUUCUUAAAUUUUUUUUAAAGUUUAUUUAUCUUGAGAGAGAGUGUGAACGGAGGAGAGGCGGGGGGGGGGGGGGGGGGGAGAGGGAGUCCCAAGCAGGCUCUGUGCUGCCAGCAUAGAGUCUGAUGCAGGGCUCAAACUCCUGAAACCAUGGGAUCAUUACCUGAGCUGAAACUAAGAGACAGAUGCUUAACUGACUAAGCCACUAGAUGCCCCUUGUCAAAUGCUUUUUAACCUUCAUUUUGUUAAUGUGGUAUAUAUAUCAUGUUGAUUUGCUUAUAUUGAUCCUUGCAACUCUGGUAUAAAUUCCACUUGACUGUGGUAAAUGAUAACUUUUAAUGUAUUGUUGAAUUCAGUUUGCUAAUAUUUUGUUGAGGAUUUUUGCAUCUAUAUUCAUUAGGAAUAUUGGCUCAUAAUAUUCUUCUUCUCCUUCUCUUUUUUUAGUGUCUUUGUCUAAUUUUGUUAUCGGGGUAAUGCUGGCCUCACAAUGAAUGAACUUAGAAGUGUCCCUUUGUCUUCAAUUUUUGGGAACAGUUUGAGGAUAAGUACUAACUUUUCUGUAAAAGUUUUAUAGAAUUUGUUUGUAAAACCAUCUGAUCCUGGACUUUUAGUGGUUAGGAGUUUUUUGAUUGCUGAUUCAAUUUGAUUAAUAGAAAUCAGUCUGUUCAGAUUUUCUAUUUCUUUCUAAUUCAGUCUUGAAAGAAUACAUGUUUCCAAAUUUACCCAUUUCUUCUAGGUUGUCAAAUUUGUUGGCAUAUAAUUUUUUGUAGUACUUUUAUAAUCCUUUAUAUUUCUAUGGUGUUGACUGUAAAUUCUGUUUCAUUUCUGAUUUAAGUCCCUUUAUUUCUUGAUGAGUCUGGCUAAAGGUUUAUCAACAUUAUUUAUCUUAUCUUUUUAUUUUUUAUUUAUUUUUUUAUAAUUGUUUUAAGUUUAUUUGUUUUAGAAAGAGAGGCGGAGCAUGCACACAUGGCAGGGGCAGAGAGAAAGGAGAGAGAGUAUUCCAAGCAGGUUCCACACUGUCAGCGUGGAGUCUGAUGUGGGGCUCAAACUCACAAACUAUGAGAUAUGACCUGAGCUGAAAUCAAGAGUCAGAUGCAUGGGGUGCAUGGGUGGCUCAGUCGGUUAAGCGUCCGACUUCAGCUCAGGUCACGAUCUCACGGUCCGUGAGUUUGAGCCCCGCGUCGGGGUCUGGGCUGAUGGCUCAGAGCCUGGAGCAUGCUUCCGAUUCUGUGUCUCCCUCUCUCUCUGCCCCUCCCCCGUUCAUGUUCUCUCUCUGUCUCAAAAAUAAAUAAACGUUAAAAAAAAAUUAAAAAAAAAAAAGAGUCAGAUGCUUAACCAAAUGAGCCACCCAGGCACCCCCUUUUAAAGAAUCAGUUGUUAGUUUCACAGAUAUUUUCUUUUUUUUUAUUUAUUUCCAUUGUGAUUUUUUAUUGUUUUCUUCUACUAACCUUGGGUUUUCUUUGUUUUUUCUACUUCAUUUAGGUACGAGGUUAGAUUGAGAUUUUUCUUAUUUCUUGAAGUAGGCCUGUUUUGCUAUAAACUUCCUUCCUAGAACUGCUUCUGUUGCAUCCUAAGGAUUUUGCAAUGUUCUUUCUGUUUUUACUUGUCUCAAUAUUUUUUGAUUCCCUCUUUGAUUUCUUUGUUGACCUAUUGCUUGUUUAGUUGCAUGUUUUUGACCUUCACGGUUUUUUUUCCCCAUUUUUUAAAAAACUGUAAUUGAUUUCUAGUGUUAUACUGUUGUGAUCAGGAAAGAUGCUUGGUAAGAUUUCAGUCUUCCUAACUUUAUUGAGACUAAUUUUUAGCCUAAUAUGUGAUCUAUUGUGGAGGAUAUUCCAUGUGCACUUAAAAAAAAAACAAA